AGGAGGAACAACCCCAGUGGCGGCAGCCAGCUCUGGAGCCCUGGAGUCAGCUCCCGCAGUCACUACAGAGCUCUCUGUCUGCAUGGGCCUGGAGGCUGUGGGGGCAC
rnacentral:pre_miRNA from 1 species